GCAGUAGCCGCGGGAAUACGGAGGGUGCAAGCGUUAAUCGGAAUUACUGGGCGUAAAGCGCACGCAGGCGGUUUGUUAAGUCAGAUGUGAAAUCCCCGAGCUUAACUUGGGAACUGCAUUUGAAACUGGCAAGCUAGAGUCUUGUAGAGGGGGGUAGAAUUCCAGGUGUAGCGGUGAAAUGCGUAGAGAUCUGGAGGAAUACCGGUGGCGAAGGCGGCCCCCUGGACAAAGACUGACGCUCAGGUGCGAAAGCGUGGGGAGCAAACAGGAUUAGAUACCCCCGUAGUCCUGUCUCUUAUACC
rnacentral:rRNA from 1 species